rnacentral:misc_RNA from 1 species
AAAGAACUUUCUUCUCAAAGGAAAAGAACAUAAUAGUAAACCAAUGAAGCACAACAGGAAGGGAGGAUGGAUGAAAAUCACACAUAGACUAACAGGAGUAAAGAUAGUGCUUGUUCACUACAAAACCAACCGCAUAACACAGAAGAGUGGACUUCGAAUGAGUUCCAUCAGAAAAUAUAGUCCGGCAUCACAAGGGGAAAUCUUGACACCACAGCUUCGAACGGACUACCUUUUGGAUCUGCUAAUCUUCCAGGUACAAAAGUAAAAGAUCCUUCAAUCGAGCCUGGUGAAUCUUGUUGAGAUGAGCAACUCUGAUAGACAAAUUCUUCCUCCCCGGGUCGUAGCAGUGGAAACUUUCCUAUCACCGCUUCUCCAUUUACAUUAUCUACAACAUUAUCAUUGCAGCGGAUGAUCCAAUGUCUACAAUAUAGUUGGCAGGAAUUGAAGGCCAUCCCAUUCAUUAUGCAUCCUUCAGGUGAAAGAGACAUGCGGAUAGAAUAAGCAAAAAAACUCUUCUCAUAUUCAUCUUGAAUGGUACUGAACUCUGGGACGAACACAGAAGAAGCACGGACCUUUACACCAUUUGUAACAGCAAGAGAACAAAGUGGAGGUACUUCUGGAAAAAGACUGAUACUUCUCACUUUUCCUUCUUUACGGACAUUGAUCAUUCCAUGUUGCAAGCGACGGACAUGUUCCUCUAGCCACAAUAGCAUGGCAUCUUGGGGUUGAGUUGCUUUUACAUUAUGCACUGAACUUAUCAAGGCACUCGGUACACAAGGAAUCACUUCUCCUUCAGUUGUGAGAUUCCUUGUACCAACAUUAAGUUGACCAGUGGAACAGUUCAGAAAGAAAACCUUUUCAUUGUGACCACAAGAGGCCGCUACAACAACAUACUUAGAUCGAUUGCCGAGUCCGAUAUGUCUGAUAGUUUCUUUCGUUUCUAUUAUCAUUUGAUGUAAAGGCAACAAAGAUACAUUCACCAGAUGGU